UAUCAUGUAUACCAGCGUUUCCCAACCUUUUUCCCUCGCGGCACACUAAUCCCAACCCAUAUUUAGCCGCGGCACACUUGUCACUUAGUUAUUUAUGUAUACAAAUUUUUUUAUACUAGACUUUCAUCAUAUUAAUUAUUAAUACCAAAAUAGUUGUAUAUCAGUAUAAUAUUUCUAGCAAACAUUUUAAAAUGGUAGGAUAGAAAAAAAUAUUAUUACAAUUAUCCUAAAUAUUUAAUUUAUUGAAAUGGAAAAACAAGAUACAUUACAAUUUUUAUAAAAAACCUAAUCUUAGUGAGAAAUUUGGGACUGUUUUCUCUUCAUUAUUAGGUUCCUUCGUGGUCGAAUGGUUGAUAAGCACACCCUCAUGUCGUCUUCCAAGUUCUUCAGUUUUGAUGGCAUUCAUUGAAGAGAAUGCUCACUAUUCAUAGCAGAACACAUUGAUUAAAUAAUCUUGAUUUCAAAGGUUUACUUUUAAUGAAGUUUACCAUUUUGACAACAGUUUGCAAUACUUCAUUGAGCUCAGGCAUCAAAGAUUUAGCAACGAGAGCUUCUCUAUAUAUGAAGCAGUGAGUGAAAAUAAUAUCCAGGUUUUCUUUCUUAACUAAUGCCAAAAAACCUGUUAAAUGACCAAUCAUUGAAGGGCACCCAUCUGUACAAACACUCAAACAAAAUUUCCAUGAUAUAUUGGCAGUGGUAAAAUAAUUGUUAACCAAAUUAAAAAUAUCUUGUCCUUUUGUAGUUUCAGGAAGGUCUUUACAAAAUAAAAAUUGUUCUAUCAACUCAUUAUCGCAUAUAAAUUUUACGAAUGUCAUGACCUGAGGUUUUCCGGUUACAUCUGUAGACUCAUCUAAUUGAAGGGCAAACAAUUCAGCUGCUUUCAGUUUUUCAUUCACGNUCACCAAACAAAAUUUUAAAGAUUUCACAGCAUGCUGGUAAAAUGGUUGACUCGGCUGUUGUGUGAGAUUUCAUUUUUUUUGCUAUCAGUUCCACGACAGCAUAGCUAGCUUCCUGUGCCUUAUCUGAUACAGUUGAGUGUUUUAUAAACUUUAAAGCCUGUCUGUUUUGAUCUGAGGCUAACCUUUUGAAAAAAUCUAGAGGCUUUUCAGACGCAAAACCAUGUUUUGUAAGCAGGUGCCUUUUCAGCUUACUUGGUACAAUACUUUCAUUAGAUAAUUUUUCAAUACACAUGAGGCAUUGAGGUAUACUAGGUAUAGGCAUUUCUCCACCACUCGACGUGAAAUCAAAUGAUAAAAAGCUUUCGUGAUAUUGUCGAAUAUAAUUUUUUGAUCGUACGUUAGCAUUUUUACUCGCACUCACCUCAACAUUAGGAGGAUUGAAACUAGGACCAGGCAAUUCCUCAACAUCAACUCUAUGAGCACUAUUAGGAUCAGGCAAUUCUUCGCUUAAUUUACGUUUCCUAAUUAAAAAAUGAUCCAUCGUGCGCUACACGUAGUACGAAUGAUAAUCGUAAAGCGAAAAGAAAAAAUUUCCGUUAAAGUAUAACACGGUA